AUAUUACAGGUGUGUCCCUAAGACUCUAAUGUCACUUGAAGUUUUCUCUCUCUGUGUUUCAUGCUUACAGUUCAAGACGGGAAGCCCCAGCAUCAAGUGUCUGCCGCCACUUCUGCUGCCUGCUGCCUGCUGCCAUGCUUCCCCGCCAGGAUAGACUCUGACCUGCAGGAAUUAUCAGCCCCAAAACAAACCUUUUCUUCUAUAAGUCACCUUGUUCAUGUGUUUAUGACAAUGCCGGAAAGGGAGGAAAGGUUUCCUGUGGCUUACUGUUCAGUGACACACAACCUAUCAAAGCAUGGUGCAGAAGAGCAGAACAAGAGGCAGCUCUGAGUGCUUGUUGGCCAGCUUUCUCUACAUAGCCCUGGCUGUCCCUGAACCCACUAUAUACAACAGGCUGACCUUGAACUCACACGCACCACCACACCCAGCCCCAUGCAAAAAGAGCCAGUCCCUACUCCAACCCCAGAAGUGGGUAGGCUGGGAAGAAGGCUUCGGCAGCAGAGUAUCGCUGCCUUCAGGAGGAGACACGGCAGCUUAGGAGGGCCAAGGAAGGCUUGCCUUCAUCCCAGGUUAUACCUAAGGUGAAGUGCUCUAGGCAUGGACCACCUGGACUUAAGGGGGUUUGGGAGGUCACCUCUUCCUUUGGCUAUGGUCUUCUUCACAAGGCUAGAGGGACAUAUUUACAGCUAUCACCUCUGACUCUAGAUAUCAUCCUUUGGGUAACCAGGAAUGCAGUCUGUCUAAGUGGCCUCCAGUCUGAUCUCAGGGCCAACACAGGCCUCUCUUGUCUGAGCUCUUCUCUCAGAGUGGAUGUCAACUGCUUACUCAGAAGCCUCAGGGCUGACAGCACAUGCAGGUGGUGGUGCUGGAGAGAUAGCUAGUGGGACAGUGCUGUUGAUUAGCUUUAGACACAGGGAUAGGGUCCACUCAUCCAAGGCCUCAAGUGUUCUAAAGAUUGAAGCUGGGGGCUGGAAUAGAAGCAAGGAUAAGAUACAGGCCCAUAAACGUCUAUUGAGGCUACAGAGAUGGCUCAGUGGUUAAGAGCACCAACUGCUCUUCCAGAGGUCCUGA
rnacentral:lncRNA from 1 species